UACAGAGGUCUCAAGCGUUGUUCGGAUUCAUUGGGCGUAAAGGGUGCGUAGGUGGCGGGGUAAGUCAGGUGUGAAAUCUCGGGGCUCAACCCCGAAACUGCACUUGAUACUGCCUUGCUCGAGUACUGGAGAGGAGAUUGGAAUUUACGGUGUAGCAGUGAAAUGCGUAGAUAUCGUAAGGAAGACCAGUGGCGAAGGCGAAUCUCUGGACAGUUACUGACACUGGAGGCACGAAGCCAGGGGAGCAAACGGG
rnacentral:rRNA from 1 species